AAGGAAUGAUGCUUCUGAUAACUACAAGGAUACUCAUGAAUGCUUGCAACAGAUAGAUGAAUAUGAGACUCUUGAAGGGCAUAAUGGAAUGAAAGUAAAUAUGGACUGGAUGGAAAAUUAUAAUUUGUGGACCUCAGACAUGCAUGAAUAUUUUGCUGG